rnacentral:rRNA from 1 species
UACGUAGGGGGCUAGCGUUGUCCGGAAUCAUUGGGCGUAAAGCGCGUGUAGGCGGUCCGGUAAGUCCGCUGUGAAAGUCGGGGGCUCAACCCUCGGAUGCCGGUGGAUACUGUCGGGCUUGAGUACGGAAGAGGCGAGUGGAAUUCCUGGUGUAGCGGUGAAAUGCGCAGAUAUCAGGAGGAACACCAAUUGCGAAGGCAGCUCGUUGGGACGUUACUGACGCUGAGACGCGAAAGCGUGGGGAGCAAACAGG